AGGGAGUUUGAUCCUGGCUCAGAACGAACGCUGGCAGCGUGGAUUAGGCAUGCAAGUCGAACGGGAUCCGGAAGGUAGCAAUAUCGGCCGGUGAGAGUGGCGGAAGGGCGAGGAACACGUGGGCAACCUGUCUCUGAGGUGGGGAAAACCGUUGGAAACGACGGCUAAUACCGAAUGUAGCGCCCGCACGCAUGUGCGGAGCGCCAAAGGGGGCGAAAGCUCCCCCUCUCCGAGGGGCCCGCGCACCAUCAGCUUGUUGGCGGGGUAACGGCCCACCAAGGCUCACGGUUAGCUGGUCUGAGAGGAUGGCCAGCCGCACUGGGACUGAGAUACUGCCCAGACUCCUACGGGAGGCUGCAGUCGAGGAUCAUUUGCAAUGGGCGAAAGCCUGACAAUGCGACGCUGCGUGGAGGAUGAAGGCCUUCGGGUUGUAAACUCCUGUCAUAAGGGAACAGGCGAGGGGACCCAACACGUCCCUUAGUUGAGUGUACUUUAAGAGGAAGCGACGGCUAACUCUGUGCCAGCAGCCGCGGUAAUACAGAGGUCGCAAGCGUUGUUCGGAUUUACUGGGCGUAAAGGGCGCGUAGGCGGCAUGGCGUGUCGGAUGUGAAAGCUCCGGGCUCAACCCGGAAAGUGCGUCCGAAACUACCGUGCUGGAGUGCGGAAGGGGGAAUCGGAAUAUAGGGUGUAGCGGUGAAAUGCGUUGAUAUCCUAUAGAACACCGGAGGCGAAGGCGGAUUCCUUGUACGCAACUGACGCUGAGGCGCGAAAGUCGGGGGAGCAAACAGGAUUAGAUACCCUGGUAGUCCCCU
rnacentral:rRNA from 1 species